GACGAACGCUGGCGGCGUGCCUAAUACAUGCAAGUAGGACGCAGUUGCGAACGGGUGAGUAACGCGUAGGUAACUACCUAUUAGAGGGGGAUAACUCUUGGAAACUAUAGCUAAUACCGCAUACUAGUAGAUGGACCUGCGUUGUAUUAGCUAGUAGGUAGGGUAAUGGCCUACCUAGGCAACGAUACAUAGCCGACCUGAGAGGGUGAUGGGGCAAAAUGGGACGUGGACACGGCCCAGAAUCCUACGGGGGGCAGCAAUAGGGAAUCUUCGGCAAUGGGGGGAACACUGACCGAGCAACGCCGCGGGAGUGAAGAAGGGUGUCGGAUCGUAAAGCUCUGUUGUUAAGGAAGCGGUACUUAACCAGAAAGGGACGGCUAACUACGUGCCAGCAGCCGCGGUAAUAC
rnacentral:rRNA from 1 species